rnacentral:rRNA from 1 species
GAUGAACGCUGGCGGCGUGCCUAAUACAUGCAAGUCGAGCGAACAGACGCGGAGCUUGCUCCUCUGACGUUAGCGGCGGACGGGUGAGUAACACGUGGAUAACCUACCUAUAAGACUGGGAUAACUUCGGGAAACCGGAGCUAAUACCGGAUAAUAUAUUGAACCGCAUGGUUCAAUAGUGAAAGACGGUUUUGCUGUCACUUAUAGAUGGAUCCGCGCCGCAUUAGCUAGUUGGUAAGGUAACGGCUUACCAAGGCAACGAUGCGUAGCCGACCUGAGAGGGUGAUCGGCCACCCUGGAACUGAGACACGGUCCAGACUCCUACGGGAGGCAGCAGUAGGGAAUCUUCCGCAAUGGGCGAAAGCCUGACGGAGCAACGCCGCGUGAGUGAUGAAGGUCUUCGGAUCGUAAAACUCUGUUAUUAGGGAAGAACAAAUGUGUAAGUAACUAUGCACGUCUUGACGGUACCUAAUCAGAAAGCCACGGCUAACUACGUG